UGAGGAAUUUUGCGCAAUGGGCGAAAGCCUGACGCAGCAACGCCGCGUGACUGAUUAAGCUCUGAGGAGUGUAAAAGUCUGUCGUAGAGGAAGAAACUAUCCGAUAAGAAUAUUGUCGGAUACUGACGGUACUCUAUGAGAAAGCUCCGGCUAACUCCGUGCCAGCAGCCGCGGUAAUACGGGGGGAGCAAGCGUUGUCCGGAAUCACUGGGCGUAAAGAGCGCGUAGGCGUCCUAGUAAGUUUCUGGUGAAAUACUCCUGCUCAACGGGAGAAUUGCUGGAGAUACUGUUAGGAUUGAGUUUAGAAGAGGGAAGUGGAAUUCCUGGUGUAGCGGUGAAAUGCGUAGAUAUCAGGAAGAACACCGAUGGCGAAGGCAGCUUCCUAGUCUAACACUGACGCUGUGGCGCGAAAGCGUGGGGAGCAAACAGG
rnacentral:rRNA from 1 species